CGAACGGGUGAGUAACACGUGGGUGAUCUGCCCUGCACUUCGGGAUAAGCUUGGGAAACUGGGUCUAAUACCGGAUAGGACUACGGACUGCAUGGUCUGUGGUGGAAGGCUUUUGCGGUGUGGGAUGGGCCCGCGGCCUAUCAGCUUGUUGGUGGGGUGAUGGCCUACCAAGGCGACGACGGGUAGCCGGCCUGAGAGGGUGUCCGGCCACACUGGGACUGAGAUACGGCCCAG
rnacentral:rRNA from 1 species